rnacentral:rRNA from 1 species
CGGACGGGUGAGUAACGCGUGAGUAACCUGCCUUACAGAGGGGGAUAACGUCUGGAAACGGACGCUAAUACCGCAUGACAUAUAAUUACCGCAUGGUAAAGAUAUCAAAGGAGCAAUCCGCUGUAAGAUGGACUCGCGUCCGAUUAGCUAGUUGGAGGGGUAACGGCCCACCAAGGCGACGAUCGGUAGCCGGACUGAGAGGUCGAACGGCCACAUUGGGACUGAGACACGGCCCAGACUCCUACGGGAGGCAGCAUG